rnacentral:rRNA from 1 species
CCUACGGGACGCAGCAGUGGGGAAUAUUGCGCAAUGGGGGGAACCCUGACGCAGCAACGCCGCGUGCGGGAUGAAGGCCUUCGGGUUGUAAACCGCUUUCCGCAGGGAAGAGACAGACGGUACCUGCAGAAGAAGCCCCGGCUAACUACGUGCCAGCAGCCGCGGUAAUACGUAGGGGGCGAGCGUUAUCCGGAUUCAUUGGGCGUAAAGCGCGCGCAGGCGGACCGUUAAGCGGGACCUCUAAUCCUGGGGCUCAACCUCAGGCCGGGUCCCGAACUGGCGGCCCCGGGUGCGGUAGGGGAGGG